rnacentral:lncRNA from 1 species
UGAUGACUGAAAUGUGCUUGUCUGUGAAGUGCCACCUAUGCCUUCAAAGUGAUAAAGAUCCAGACUGAGUUGAAAAGAAUGAUAAAGACAGAGCUGAGAGGGCCACAGUUUUAGUGACAGCCUCAGCUGUGACAAAGGAGAGAAAACAGAAAGACCUGGGAAAGUGCAAGGAUGAAGCAAUUAAGUUUGAGAAAUGUGAUGUGAGGUUUAGGAAAGGUGGAUUUUAGCCCCAGCAGACUUUUAGCUGGACACGGACCUAAUACCUUGAGACUUCAUUGUUCCCAUUAAAGAAAAAAUUAUCUUCUGACUUUCUAGGGGUUUGGGGGUCCCAGAUAUCAAAAGAUUUAAACCACUUAGGAGGUUUCCAUUGGAAGGAGAAGACUGUCUUUAGCCCACUGCAUCCCCUCAAGCCAUCCCAAGCUUUCUCUGUGCCAGGGACUGGACGCACGCUAAAAUACGAACCUGUGUGGACUUCUUUCUUAGGAGCCUUUGCACCAGCACAAGUCCAUUCAAAGGACAUCCCAACAUCAUCAGUUAACCAAGUGUGUGUUCCACCCCAGGGAAGGACAGCGUAGGGCCGAGAGGAAUCACGGCUGAAUGGUCUGAGAUCCCGACCUGCAGAAGUAACUGGCCACUUCAGGGAAGAGAUGACUAAGAGCACUUAGAAUUUAUCCAGCUCUCAAGGCGACUUCACCAAGGAACAACCACAGUGUUGUUUUUUCACAGAAACACCAAACUUGGAAAUAAACCCUUCCA